rnacentral:sRNA from 1 species
CACCGCCUGGGGAGUACGACCGCAAGGUUAAAACUCAAAUGAAUUGACGGGGACCCGCACAAGUAGUGGAGCAUGUGGUUUAAUUCGAAGAUACGCGCAGAACCUUACCAACACUUGACAUGUUCGUCGCGACUCUAAGAGAUUAGAGUUUUCGGUUCGGCCGGACGAAACACAGGUGCUGCAUGGCUGUCGUCAGCUCGUGUCGUGAGAUGUUGGGUUAAGUCCCGCAACGAGCGCAACCCUCACUUUUAGUUGCCAUCAUUAAGUUGGGCACUCUGAAAGAACUGCCAGUGAUAAGCUGGAGGAAGGUGGGGAUGACGUCAAGUCCUCAUGGCCCUUACGUGUUGGGCUACACACGUGCUACAAUGGUAUCUACAACAGGAAGCAAAACUGCGAAGUUAAGCAAAUCCUUAAAAGAUACCUCAGUUCGGAUUGCACUCUGCAACUCGAGUGCAUGAAGCUGGAAUUACUAGUAAUCGUGGAUCAGCGUGCCACGGUGAAUGCGUUCCCGGGUCUUGUACACACCGCCCGUCACACCAUGGGAGUUGGUUCUACCUUAAGGCAAGGUUUUAAACCCUUGACCACGGUAUAGUCAGCGACUGGGGUGAAGUCGUAACAAGGUAGCCGUAGGGGAACCUGCGGCUGGAUUACCUCCUUUCUAAGGAUGAAUGAAAGUUAUAUUUCAUUCUAAAUAAUAUACAGGUAAUGUUGACCGUCCUCAUUUCUCUUCUUAAAGUAGUGUUUCUCUUGCAUGGGGGCCGGUAGCUCAGUUGGUUAGAGCACACCCUUGAUAAGGGUGGGGUCGAAAGUUCGAGUCUUUCUCGGCCCACCAAUUAAAGAUCAUGGGGGAUUAGCUCAGCUGGGAGAGCGCCUGAUUUGCAUUCAGGAGGUCAGCGGUUCGAUCCCGCUAUCCUCCACCAAACACUUAGUUAUAAAAAAUCGUAAAGAAUAAAUAAUUAAUAUCAAUAUCUAUAUCCGAACAUUAGAAAGUUAAUAUCUAGUGUUCAAAAAUAAAAAUUUGAUUCAACACAGAAUUUUUUUCUG